GAAACAUUAAUUAUAAAUAUUUGAAUUGAUUAAAUUUUAGAGAGAAUUAGUCCAUAAUACCAUAAGUAGCCAUAAAUUUAAGAUAUAUCUUGGACACCUUAAAUAUAGGUCUAAUAGUGACUGGAGGUGAAGGCAAAAUACGGAUAAGCCCUUUCCUCAAUAUACGAUUUUCGUAGAGUAGGAUAUAUUUCAAGAUUUGUUUAGAUUUAUCAAAUAUUUCUGUAGAUUUUUUUUCUUUACCAAGAAGGUUAUAACUGUUCGUAUCCAGAGGAAAGCAAAUCUGAGCCGUCUACUAGCUGACACAAACGGCGCUCUGGAUUCCCUAUCCAACUAAAGAUCUUCCGCCUCUACAUACAGAAAAAUGACCAUUAACUCCAACUCAAAACUUUGGUCUUUAAGCGUCAUAAAGAAGAAUCCAAAAGGCUAGGUGUUUCUUAGAUUGGCGGCUUCGGAUUUGGAAAGUUCUUAAACUUGGCCUCAAGGUCUUUGACAACAUUGACAUCCAACUGGAACGCCAUAGCCAGAACCUCAGGGUUGAUCGGUGGCUUUGACCCAAACACAGUAUCUGCGAUUGUGAUGACACCAGCGUUCUGACUACUCAGUCCCGCAAAGGCUACCGCGGGAGUUUUCCCAAUAUUCACCUGAAAAUGUAUCAUUCCUAUGGGAAAUACAAAAACGUCACCUGGCUGCAAUACUUUGGCGAAUAGACGAUUAUUAUCUUGAUUGGAAGAAACGAAACCGACGUAUAAUGUUCCCUUCAAAAGGACAAGGAUCUCAGUGGCGCGAGGGUGCGUGUGAGGUGGGUUUUGGCCAUAUGGUGCAUAGUCUAUGCGAACCAAGGAUAUUCCCAUAGUGUUUAGCCCUGGAAUCUGAUCGACAUUGACUGUUGUCACGUUGGAUUUGACAUCAUUAUCGGUGUUUCCGGCCUUAUUGAGGCCUGAGUAGAAGAAAUCUUCUGCCCUGGCUUGCUUUGGAUCCUUACAGAACUUACCAUUCACAAAAACUGCACGUAGAUUUCAUUUAGAAGAAUAUGUUAUCAUAUAAUGUAAUCAGCUCAAGGAGAAAAAGGAGAUUGAGUUACAGAAACCGGGCUUUAUACGCACCUCCAUUUUUGGGGUCAUCAAUUGCGACACAGAAGUCUUGGAGUGGGCUUGGAUCAUAAGCUUUGGCAAAGGAAAUGACUACAGCUAAUACGGUAAUCAGGAUUGAAACCCUCAUUUUCAAACAAGAGGUUUUGUAAUAUGUUUUCAAGUGUGUUUUAUAUGUUUGUUGUGUUGUAAAUUGUGAAGCAUUUUAGCUCAGUAUUUAUAAGGUAAGAGCGUAUGCCAUAUUUGACGUGGUCCAAAGUCAUUCUAUACAUUUGUAGUUCGGAUG